rnacentral:tRNA from 1 species
UUUGGUAGAAGGUAGUAUAGUGAAGUACUAAAGAUUUUGAGUCUUUGUGUGCGGGUUCAAGUCCCGUUCUUCUAA